rnacentral:rRNA from 1 species
GACGAACGCUGGCGGCGUGCUUAACACAUGCAAGUCGAACGGUAAGGCCCUUCGGGGUACACGAGUGGCGAACGGGUGAGGAACACGUGGGUGAUCUGCCCUGCACUUCGGGAUAAGCCUGGGAAACUGGGUCUAAUACCGGAUAGGACCACUGCCUGCAUGGGUGGUGGGGGAAAGCUGGGGCGGUGUGGGAUGGGCCCGCGGCCUAUCAGCGUGGUGGUGGGGUGAUGGCCUACCAAGGCGACGACGGGUAGCCGGCCUGAGAGGGUGACCGGCACCACUGGGCCUGAGAUACGGCCCAGACUCCUACGGGAGGCAGCAGUGGGGAAUAUUGCACAAUGAGCGCACGCCGGAUGCAGCGACGCCGCGUGAGGGAUGACGGCCUUCGGGUUGUAAACCACUUUCAGCACCGACGAAGCGCAAGUGACGGUAGGUGCAGAAGAAGGACCGGCCAACUACGUGCCAGCCGCCGCAGUAA